UACGGAGGGGACUAGCGUUGUUCGGAAUUACUGGGCGUAAAGCGCACGUAGGCGGAUUUGUAAGUCAGGGGUGAAAUCCCGGGGCUCAACCUCGGAACUGCCUUUGAUACUGAAGAUCUUGAGUCCGGGAGAGGUGAGUGGAACUGCGAGUGUAGAGGUGAAAUUCGUAGAUAUUCGCAAGAACACCAGUGGCGAAGGCGGCUCACUGGCCCGGUACUGACGCUGAGGCACGAAAGCGUGGGGAGCAAACAGG
rnacentral:rRNA from 1 species